rnacentral:rRNA from 1 species
CUGUUUGUUGGUGACUCUAAAUAACUUUGUGUUGAUCGUAUGACCUUUGUGUCGACGACAUAUCUCUCAAGUGUCUGACUUAUCAACUUUAGACGGUACAUUAUAUGUCUACCGUGGUUGUAACGAGUACAGAGAAUCAGGGUUUGGUUCUGGAGAGGCCGCCUGAGAAACGGCGACCACUUCCAAGGAAGGCAGCAGGCGCGCAAAUUACCCACUCUCAAAACGAGGAGGUAGUGAAGAGAAAUAACGAUGUUAGUCUAUUAUAGGCUGACAAUCGGAAUGGGAACACUGUAAACAGGUUAUCGAUUAACAAUUGGAGGGCAAGUCUGGUGCCAGCAGCCGCGGUAAUUCCAGCUCCAAUAAGGAAAACUAAAGUUGCUGUGUUUAAAAAGCUCGUAGUUGAAUUUCGGGUAUUUGUUGCUAGCUGGUCUAACUGGCCAUGUUGGUUAACAGAUCCUCAUUUGCUGGACGGCUGGCGAUGAUCUUCAUCGAUUGUCGUCAGUUGCCAGAACGUUUACUUUGAGAAAAUUAGAGUGCUAAAAGCAGGCUCACGCCUAUAUAUAUUGCAUGGAAUAAUGAAAUAAGAUCUCGAUUUUAUUUCGUUGGUUUUAGAAAUUGAGAUAAUGAUUAAUAGGAUCAGAGGGGGGCGUACGUACUGUGGUGUGAGAGGUGAAAUUCUUGGAUCGCCACAGGACGAACAGCAGCGAAGGCGUUCGCCAAGAAUGUUUUCAUUAAUCAAGAACGAAAGUUUGAGGUUCGAAGACGAUUAGAUACCGUCCUAGUUCAAACCAUAAACGUUGCCAACUGUCUUUUAGAUGCGGUUAUUUAUAUGACUCAUCUGGCGGAUCUCGAGAAAUCUAAGUUUUUAGGUUCCGGGGGAAGUAUGGUUGCAAAGCUGAAACUUAAAAGAAUUGACGGAAGGACACACAAGAAGUGGAGCCUGUGGCCUAAUUUGACACAACACGGGAAACCUUACUCGGCCAGGACACUUUUAGGAUUGACAGAUUGAGAGCUCUUUCUUGAUUAGGUGGGUGGUGGUGCAUGGUCGUUCGUAGUUCGUGGAGCGAUUUGUCUGAUUAAUUUCGAUAACGAACGAGACUCCGGCUUACUAAAUAGUCUAAAGUUCGAAGGGACUUUUCAAGACUUCUUAGCAGGAUAAGUGGCACUUUUUAAGCCACACGAAAUGGAGCAAUAACAGGUCUGUGAUGCCCUUAGAUGUCCGAGGCUGCACGCGCGCUACACUGGAGAGUUCAGAAUGUUUCUUCCUACUUCGACAGAAGUGGGUAACCAUGAAAUUCUCUUCGUGACUGGGAUCGGAGCUUGCAAUUAUUCUCCGUCAACGAGGAAUUCCUAGUAAGCACUAUUUCAUCAGAAUGUGCUGAUUAUGUCCCUGUCCUUUGUACACACCGCCCGUCGCUACUACCGAUUGAAUGUUUUAGUGAGAUCUUC